rnacentral:rRNA from 1 species
GAUGAACGCUGACAGAAUGCUUAACACAUGCAAGUCAACUUGAAUUUGGGUUUUUAACUUAAGUUUGGGUGGCGGACGGGUGAGUAACGCGUAAAGAACUUGCCUCACAGCUAGGGACAACAUUUGGAAACGAAUGCUAAUACCUAAUAUUAUGAUAAUAGGGCAUCCUAUAAUUAUGAAAGCUAUAAGCGCUGUGAGGGAGCUUUGCGUCCCAUUAGCUAGUUGGAGAGGUAACGGCUCACCAAGGCGAUGAUGGGUAGCCGGCCUGAGAGGGUGAUCGGCCACAAGGGGACUGAGACACGGCCCUUACUCCUACGGGAGGCAGCAGUGGGGAAUAUUGGACAAUGGACCAAGAGUCUGAUCCAGCAAUUCUGUGUGCACGAUGAAGUUUUUCGGAAUGUAAAGUGCUUUCAGUUGGGAAGAAAGAAAUGACGGUACCAACAGAAGAAGUGACGGCUAAAUACGUGCCAGCAGCCGCGGUAAUACGUAUGUCACGAGCGUUAUCCGGAUUUAUUGGGCGUAAAGCGCGUCUAGGUGGUUAUGUAAGUCUGAUGUGAAAAUGCAGGGCUCAACUCUGGAUUGCGUUGGAAACUGUAUAACUAGAGUACUGUAGAGGUAAGCGGAACUAUGAGUGUAGAGGUUGAAUUCUAUAUAUUUGUAUGAAUGCCGAUGGGGAAUCCCACUUACUGGACAGAUACUGACGCUGAAGUGCGUAAGCGUGUUUAGCAUACAGGUUUAGAUACCUGGGUAGGUCUGGGGCGAAUUCCUUGUUGGAUAUCAUGUUAUAUCAAUACCUUCUUUCUCCACUGUGGGGCCCAGAAAAAAAUAAUUUUUUUUCUCUUUAAUUGAUGUUCAUGUAUUUUUGGAAUGUAUUGCUGUUUAUGUUGUGUGUAUUAGU